rnacentral:miRNA from 1 species
GUCCGGCCGGUUACAGGAAACAGAAACUCCGUGUGGAACAGGAGAUUCUGUUUCCUGUAACUGGCCGGAC